GUAUUUCUCCUGUGUAACUGGAACUUUGUAUCCUUUGACCAACGUCUCCACUUGGCCCAUCCCAACUGCCUUCCCCGAUCCGUUGGUAACCACCAAUAUGCUCUCAGCUCAUUCACAUUGAACUUCUCUCGAUUCGACAUAUACCACUCAUUAGGUGAAUAAACAAUAUUCCCUAUACCUAUAGAGUGGAAUACCACCCAGCAUCCUCUCACAUACAAAGAAAGAACAAAUUGCUGAUAGACACAGAUGUCCAUCAAUCUCAAAAGUCGUCAUGUCUGUGGAUCCAUACGGUUAAUACCACCUGUAGUCAGCAUUCUGAAAAGGGAACAGGCCAUAUGAGGACAUCGAGAGACGGGACUGUCUACAAGCCAAGAAGGGAGGAUUCUUUCUGAAAAAGGAGAAACCAAACCUGCAAGCACCUUGAUAUUGGACUUCCAGCCCCAAGAAUGUGAGAAAUAAAUUUCUGCUGUUUAAGC
ensembl:lncRNA LINC00879 long intergenic non-protein coding RNA 879